CCUACGGGAGGCAGCAGUGAGGAAUAUUGGUCAAUGGACGAGAGUCUGAACCAGCCAAGUAGCGUGAAGGAUGACUGCCCUAUGGGUUGUAAACUUCUUUUAUAUGGGAAUAAAAUGUUCCACGUGUGGGAUUUUGUAUGUACCAUAUGAAUAAGGAUCGGCUAACUCCGUUCCAGCAGCCGCGGUAAUACGGAGGAUCCGAGCGUUAUCCGGAUUUAUUGGGUUUAAAGGGAGCGUAGGUGGAUUGUUAAGUCAGUUGUGAAAGUUUGGGGCUCAACCGUAAAAUUGCAGUUGAAACUGGCAGUCUUGAGUACAGUAGAGGUGGGCGGAAUUCGUGGUGGAGCGGUGAAAUGCUUAGAUAUCACGAAGAACUCCGAUUGCGAAGGCAGUUCACUGGACUGCAACUGACACUGAGGCUCGAAAGUGUGGGUAUCAAACAGGAUUAGAUACCCCUGUAGUC
rnacentral:rRNA from 1 species